rnacentral:rRNA from 1 species
CGUAAUUGGAGGGGAAGUCUGGUGCCAGCAGCCGCGGUAAUUCCAGCUCCAAUAGCGUAUAUUAAAGUUGUUGCAGUUAAAAAGCUCGUAGUUGAACUUCAGACCUGGCUGGGCGGUCCGCCUAACGGUGUGUACUGUCUGGCUGGGUCUUACCUCUUGGUGAGCCGGCAUGCCCUUCACUGGGUGUGUGGGGGAACCAGGACUUUUACCUUGAAAAAAUUAGAGUGUUCAAAGCAGGCCUGCGCCUGAAUACAUUAGCAUGGAAUAAUAAAAUAGGACGUGCGGUUCUAUUUUGUUGUUUUCUAGAGUCGCCGUAAUGAUUAAUAGGGAUAGUUGGGGGCAUUAGUAUUCCGUGCUAGAGGUGAAAUUCUUGGAUUUACUUAUGACUAACUAGUGCGUAGCUCGGGCCCUAGAAGUUUUCUUUGACCAAGGAACGGUAGAGCUGGGAUGGCAGCCGCAUGCUAUUCAUAGACAUCAUUGC